UACAGAGAUCUCAAGCGUUGUUCGGAUUCAUUGGGCGUAAAGGGUGCGUAGGCGGCGCGGUAAGUCGGGUGUGAAAUCUCGGAGCUUAACUCCGAAACUGCAUUCGAUACUGCCGUGCUUGAGGACUGGAGAGGAGACUGGAAUUUACGGUGUAGCGGUGAAAUGCGUAGAUAUCGUAAGGAAGACCAGUGGCGAAGGCGGGUCUCUGGACAGUUCCUGACGCUGAGGCACGAAGGCCAGGGGAGCAAACGGG
rnacentral:rRNA from 1 species